GUCAACUGAAUAUGUAAUCCCGAGACAGCGGGUGUCCUUCCGCGGAAGGACUUAAUAGUAAUGCCUGCCGAGGAUGAAUAAGUACCGUAAAAGUACAAAUUUAUAAGUCCUCGUGCGCAAGGCAUGGGGACUUCUUAUUUAUAUAA
rfam:Chloroflexi bacterium RBG_13_52_12 RBG_13_scaffold_61407, whole genome shotgun sequence.